GGACGUCAAACCGUCAUAAAGUAUAGAUCUCCAUAGGAUGCCAUAGUGAAUAGUGCUAUGUUUUCCUGAGGAGAUAUAAGA
rnacentral:snoRNA from 1 species